CCACGGACUUACGUCCGUGGCUAUCGCCUGCCAUCGCUUCGCGAUU
rfam:Rhodopirellula maiorica SM1 cSM10052, whole genome shotgun sequence.